UUUUGGGGCUCGUGGUGUUUGUUGGCUCUGAAUCAGGGUAGAGAACCACCAAAUAAUACAGAAAAGGGGAUCGCAGGUCAAGGUAACGCUGGCGAAUGAUGCCCCAAGGCAGAUGGCCUCAUCAUACAGAGAGGAGCACCACAUUCACGUGAUACGGAAGUCCUCUCCGGACACAACAGGGAGGAAAAGCACGACGGAAUGAAAGCGUACCAUCCCAGAGGCACUCCUGAAGAAAUAAUGGAAGUAUCUUGCGACUACAAGAGUUACUGUCAGUCUGAACCCAGAAAUGCCCACAAGGAUGUGCAAGAGUCGAUGCUGAGACAGAUUUACUCACAGGUUGCCCUCCUACAAGUACUACUUCGCUGUCUGUACCCAUCCCACCUUACAGCUCAGGCUUACCAGGCUGAUUAGGAGCACUUCGGAAUUCUUGAAAAUUUUAUGCUUCUUCCCUUCUGAAGCCUCAUGACAGCAGCUCAACUCUGCUACAAUCCUGAACUAAAACUGACGAUUGUUCAUCAGGAUCUGUCUUCUAGUCCUCUAAUUUUUGAAGGUUUUGACAGACUCAAAUACCAACUGAAGGCCAAGGAGCCAGAUCCCAGUAUUAAUUGGGUCCGCAUUGCCUUCAAUGAUCAUUUAAGCCACAUCUCAUGGAAAUUUUUUGUUUUGAUUAUUUACUUUUGUUAAGAGAAGCUCUCCUGCAGUCACUUGCAAAAGUGAGUUACUUUAUCACUCACAGUCCCAACUGGUUACCUCAUUCCUUAACCACCUAACCCCUUCCUUUAUUUAAAGGGCCAGAUUAUUAAGACAGACAAGCAUAACGUAAGACAGACAGAAUGAUUUACUGAGCAUGAUUAGUUGCUCCUCCAUUCUAACGAAUUCUGGAAACUGCUUUCCCCACACCCCAAAUGCAAACAUCAGUCAUCUUUCUUCUCCUCCACCAAAGUGAAAGAUCAGAAACAUCAUCCAUGAAGAAUUUCAGAAAGCUCUAGCUAUAAAUAAAAUAAAAAAUUAUAUA